UCGCGGACAGCCCGUUUGGUC
rnacentral:siRNA from 1 species